rnacentral:lncRNA from 1 species
UUAGAGUUAUCCCCCAAGAUUCAGCAUCCCUUCCACCCUCUCACUCUUCUGCCAAAAUCACCUUAUUCUGGGGGCAUAACCGCGUGCAGUUUGUUUGGUAAGAAUUUUGAGGGAUUUGUUUAUAAUUGUUUUGAUUGUGAGUUCGAUCUGCACAUCACUUGUGCUUUGCUUCAAUCAUCCAUUGCUGCAAAUUUUCCUAAUUCUUUGCACCCCCAUCCUUUACACUUCAUUCAAAAUCAUAACAAGGAAGUCGAGCCUGAUUGCCCGGGGUGUCGGAAACCAAUAUCUGGUCCAUUUUACCACUGUUCAGAUUGCACUUGUCCUAAAUUGUUUUAACCUUCAUAAGGAAUGUGCUGAACUACCCCUUGAGAUUAAUCACCCCUGUGACCGUAAGCAUCCUCUUACUCUCUUGUCACAACCGCCUACUCAUCCCAAGAAAUGUAGUUGCUAUUUGUGCAGAAUCUAUGCAACUUUGAUCUUUCACUUGAUAGUUUUCUUUUUUCACCACCAAAAAUCACAGUUGCAAGUCAUGAACACGCGUGGAUGCUUGUAUCUAGAAAAAUGUGGUUUGUUUGUGAUUUUUGUGGCACUGACGGAGAUCACUCCCCCUAUUUGUACCCUAAACUUAAACUUUGCCCUCGCACUACCCAGUUCAAUCUAGGCUUAAUAUAAAAAUUGCCCCCUAAAUUAUAUUCAUUUUCUCAGAUAGGUAUCUAAACCAUUUUUUUGUCAAAUUGAGUACUUAAAGUAAUUUUUUCCCGCAUUGGUACGCUGUUGCCUGUUAGUUCUCCCUUAGUCAACCAUUAGUCAACAUUGUUCGAUGUUCAAUGAUGAUGUGGCCCAAUAAGUAAUAAGCACGUGGAAAAAAAGCCACAUAAGUAAACCAUCUCAUUCUUUGUAUAAAAAAAGCCACAUAAGUAAAUCAUCUCAUAAUUAAAAAUAAUAUUAAGAAAUAUUUUCACACCCUGUUACUCUCCCACAGUCCCCUACCAUCCUCACCCAACCCUUUCCCUCUGCUAACCCUUCAAUUAUAUUUUCAUAAAAAAAAAAAUCCUCCUUUUUUUCUUCAACAUUGAUUCUUUGUCUCACAAUUCCAUUUAAAUCCAUCCACCACAUGUUUGGGAAAAUGACCCUCAAAAAAAUAGAUUUUAAGCCUGAAAUUGGUGUUUUCCUUUUCAUGUAUUGGAUUUGCUUUCUUAUAGUAGGAUUAUAAGUUUGUGGGUGAAGGUUUUGUAUUUGUUAGUUUGGUUUAGUGGACUCUUAAUUUUAUUUAUGGCCUUCUUCCAAUUCGGAAUUUUGUUUGUACUCUGAAUCUCUAAAGUGCAAAUAACCAAAUUAAGCAUCUUUAAUGUACCAAUUGGUUUGUGUCUUUUACAGAAAAAUAAAUUUUCUAAUUUUUUUUUAUUUUGCCACAUGCCUAUUAGUGAUUGAGCCACAUCAUCAUUGACUAAGUUGAUUAAUGGUUGACUAACGAAGGACUAACGAGGUACAAACGUAAGAAAAAAUAUGGUUUAGAUACUCAAAUUGAUCAAAAAAGUGUUUAGGUAAUUAUUUAAGCAAAUGAGUAUAUUUUAAAGGACAAUUUUAAUAUUAAGCCUUCAACCUAUAAAUAGAUUUAUUUAUAAUUGAUUUAAUUUAAUAUGAUCUAAUUCAAAUUAAUUGUAAAACACAUUUAAUGACUUAAUUUUUAGUCACAAAUGAUAAACUUCUACAACAUAGUUUUUUAGUUCAAAUUGGUACUUUCAAAUAACUAAGUAUUAAUUUAGAUAAUAAAAAAUCAAAUUCGGGUAUUAAUUUAAAUCAAGAAGCUAAGUUUAGGUACUUAAUUUGACCAAAAUACCAAAUGGAACUUUGAAUUCAUGUUCAAGUACCUAAUUGGAAAAACAAAACCUUAGGUAUCAAUUUGAACUCUGAAGCUAAGUUCAAGUAUCAAAAUAUAUAUUUCCCUUACUUUUCCAAUCAAUAAUAAUUCUAGUGAUUAUGUUGAAAGUAAACCUUAAUUUUUGGUCACCGACAACCACAAUCCUUUUUGCAUUAUUUCUCAAUUUUUAGUUCAUAAACGAUCAAGAAUACCUUUUUUUUAUAGUGAUUAUGUUGUGAUUUCCUAUAAAAUUCUCUUUUUAUUUGCAAGGAAUCUACAACUCUAGUGUGAAUCAGGGACAUUGUCUUUGAUCGCAGGGUGUUCGCCGAAAUGCUUGACACAAGCAUGCCGGCGUGGGAAGCUAUCAGCUCUGAUGAACUUAAAUCCCACCGCCUCUUCCAUAGGCGCCAACAUAUGAAUAACUAUUCCUAAAACGAGGUCAGCCAUGCCAAUUCCAUUAAAAAGAGGCCUAAGCUAAGCUACCAAGCAAAGAGGAAGAAGAAAAGAUGGUUUCAGGGUGAGGCAUGGGCUCCAAAAGGGUAGCGGUGGAUGCAAGGCAUCACAUGCUGGGAAGGUUGGCUUCCAGAUUGGCAUGGUCUCAUCCAGUUUCCUGCUCCUCUAACACCCUCUGGCGUACCAUUCGUGGGUGCGUUUUUCUUUUCGAGAGUUUUUUUUCCCUUUUAGUGUGUUUUCGUAGUUCUUUAUUUGGUCUGUGAAGGAAAAGGAUGGAAAUUUCUGGGCUUUUGAUGCUUGGUAAUUUAGGAAGCCUUUAUUAUAAACUUUUUGAGAGAUUUUUUCUAUUUAUUUGAAGUUCUAUGAUUUGGAUAUUGGAAUAUAUAUUGCAAAAGAACCAAAGGAAUCUGUGUGUUUAGUUAUGUUUGAUAUCAAAAUUAAUAAUGAGAGUUUGCUAUUGAUUUUUCUUAUUAGAGAUCCGUGUGUUUGUUAUAGUUGGUUAUUGGUAAAAUGUAGGGACGAAGUGAAAGAGAGUAGAAUGAGUGUGCUUGAGGUUAUUAUUGUUGGAUUGAGAGAAAACUAAUAGCUGACAAGGUCUAUGAAUCUUAUGGUGCAAAGGCAAUGCGUUUGGCUUCAGCAUAUAUGUAGUGAAGUAUAUAACUGGGCUUCAUUUUGACUUUUCUUAUGGUAAUUGAUAGUUGUUUUGAUUGCAGGAUGAUUCCUCGCAAAGACUAAGGACGGAGUGGCAGCUUUCGCUGGUUUGAAAUUGAAGGCUAAUGAGGGGAUUCCUGCACCAUAUGAUAAGACUAAGAGAAUGGUUAUUCCUGAUGCUCUCAAGUUUUGCAGUAGUUGGUUUCUUUCGCGGAAUUUAGAAUUUGGUUUUCUUACUUGCUUCUGUGGAUAGUUAGUCAUGCUCAAUGUUUUUAUUGUUCUUUCGGUUUUUUUAAAUUAGGGUUUUGAGGUUUCAGAAAGGAGACAAAUUGGUGGAGAAAAUAGCAUUACCCUGGAGUAAAUAUGAAAUAUAACAUUGAACGCUUUUAUGUAGGUUAUCCAACACGCUGAAUGCUUAGGACUUGGUUUGGAGCUUUAGGAACUACUGAUUAAGAAGUUUAUGAAGACAUCAAAAGAGUCAUUUCAUUGGUUUGGCAGUUCUAGGACUUGGUUGUCCUUUACUCAGAGCCAGAGCAGGUAGGUUCUGUUUUUACUCGGCUGUUUGUGAUUGAUGUUUGUUGCACCUUUUCCCCUCUCUUUUUGUAACUGUAUUGUAGCUUUGGGUCAGUGGUUGGGCUAUGAAUUUAUGAAUAUCAAACUGUUGUGUCUGGUCAACAUUGCAGACUCCUCGAAUUGUCUCCUUACCAUCUGAGUCUUACAACCUACCAAGACAACACCGAACCAAACCUUCCGCAUACAGAAGAAAAACAUUCCUUGCAAUAAAAUUAAAACUGAUACAAAAACCACAACAUCCCAAAACACCUCAAAAAGAUAACCACGACGACACUUGCAUACACCACAGCUCAUGACACAAAUCGAAAAAGAGCUCAACUUCAAGACAUCAUCUCAUGUUAUCAAUUUGUGAGCAUCCCUUAGAAACUAAAUAAACACCAUAAAAGACGCAUCCAACAAAUUGGCAGCAAUGCAGUAACAGCAAACCUAUUGCCUCUGUGAGUCUUUAAUUACAACCCCAAAUAUCAUAUACCAAAGCAAGGAGCAACAUCAAAACCUUCAUAAUUAAACACUCUUGAAAAGUUGCCUACACACCCUUUUUACUCAUCCUUAGGUUAAAACAUGUUCUUAUCACCCCUAAACACCACCAGUCCAAAUCAUAUCUUACUCGAGUUGAAAAACCUCCUGGUUGAAGAGAAGACAAUCGAAAUCAUCCUUAACCCACAAACCCUUAUCCAACAUCGAUCAAGAGGACACUGAACAUGAUUCCAUAAUAAGCUUGUUAAAAUCCCUCAAGAAAGGAAAGCUGGAUCAGCAGCAUUCAACAGUGGUCCUCAUCAGUUAUGGCGGUCAAUGAUGAACCUCAGCCCCCUGAGCCUUUCGAGUUCACAUCCUGAUUUCGCUUGGAUUUCAUUUCGAUGAUAGUUUUUAGAGAUGACUUGUGUUCCGUCACAUUCUUUUGUUCAGGAGUUCUCUACUAAUCAGUUACAUUCUUUCUUAUGUGCUUUCUAUUUGUACGGAAAAUCUUGUCAUAUACAUGCUCAACCAUUAGGGAAUUCAAUUUUGUUGCUGAUACGAACUCGGUUGCAUCAUGUUACGACACAACUGGACGGCAUCGGCAUUGGCCCAAACACGAGGGUCCCAAGUGCAAAAUGAAGUGUUAAUUCGAGUUUGUUAAUUUGGUUGCUGGAAAAAAUGAGGAUGACUAUUACUUCUAGAUUUCUUAGCUAUAGUUUAAUUGCUGGAAUAAAAGUUAAUUCGGUUUUAGUUAAUUAGUUAAUUAAUUAGUUAAGUUCCAUAAAUAUGUCAUGGUUUAAACAUCAAUAAUUAGAAUUUAAAUUUGUCAAAAAAUAUGGACAUUUUAAAUGUGUUUUAAGUUCAUUAAUUCUGUCCAAAAUUCAUACUGCUUUAAUAUGAGAUUUAACUUGGUCUUAGUUUAGAACAAAUUAAAUAGGUCUUAAUUUAGACAACUUAAUUGUGACUCACUUCCAGACCAAUUAAUUGUGUCUAACAUUCAGCUUUUAUGUUGCAUUAAACCGAUCUUUAAAUAUGUUUUGUAGGUUGGCUGAAUAGGCUGCCCAUCAACCAAUACAUUGGACGGCAUUAAAGGGACAGCAUGCACCUGGACGUACAUGCACCUAGCACCUGCUGUUUGCUCUCCUCCAAGCAUCUCCUCGUGGAAGCAAUAGCCAAGAGUGUCCCAAUUUGUUUCAUCAGCUGAUUAAUUCGGUUCACACAUAAUUGUCCAGCCAAUUCGAGCCAUUCACACCUAGUUGACCAUUCAUUGCCGGCUUUUCACCUUUGAUGGCUGUCCAUGCGCCACCAACAGUCACAAUUUAAUUAAAGCUUGUUUGGCUGCCCAAGGGAGGUUAAUGCAUGUUCAUUCAACUUAGCUGAUAAGGAACUUGUUAGAUUCAGCUAAUUUUCUAAAUACAUUUAGCUGACCAUUCGAGAACAGCAAAGGUUAAGGAUGUCGGCGUGUCCAAUGAUUGGAUGCAUUCAUUUGCUGACUCAAUUACUCCAGCUCAAGAACCGAAUUUAUCCAGAUGAAUUACUCAGCUAUUUCGUCAGUCCAUGGCUGUUACUCCAGCUCAAGAACCGAAUUUAUCCAGAUGAAUGCUCAGCAAUUAAGUCAGUCCAUGACUGUUCGGGCAUAGCAAGAGCCAGCUGAUCAUUAAGCUAAACAUUGGAUAAUUUCAACUGGAAUUUAAGUUAACAUUUGUGUUUAAUUAAUUGUUAUAAAUUGAGGCUAUUCGGCUGGACCUAUGUGAGCUUAUAAAUAGCUUAUUGUAAACCGUUUAGAAGGUUACUUAACUUUGAAAUUUUAUGAAUAUUAAGCCUUGAGUUAUUCAACUCUUGUAAGAGUUGUUCGUUUGAGACUCGAUUGACUUAUCUAGCUCCGUCUAGUGGCGUCAACCCGAUUCUUGUUUGAACUUAUCACUUCCAGCAAGUGUGGCGUUCAUCCUAUACCGUAGGUUCCUAUCUCUUUAGAUAGUGGGUCUCGG